GGUGGUUCUCAGAUGAUGCACCCCGGAAUCAGGCUCACUCUUUUCUGGUUCCGGGGUGUGUCACUGCAGCUCAGCA
rfam:Myotis brandtii contig258296, whole genome shotgun sequence.